UGGUCGGGUGGCCUAAUGGUAAGGCGUUGCUUUCCGGUUUAGUCUGGCAAAGAUUGCGGGUUCGAGUCCCGUCUCGUAA
rnacentral:tRNA from 1 species